rnacentral:rRNA from 1 species
AGUGAACGCUGGCGGUAGGCCUAACACAUGCAAGUCGAACGGCAGCACAGUAAGAGCUUGCUCUUACGGGUGGCGAGUGGCGGGCGGGUGAGGAAUACAUCGGAAUCUACUUUUUCGUGGGGGAUAACGUAGGGAAACUUACGCUAAUACCGCAUACGACCUACGGGUGAAAGCAGGGGAUCUUCGGACCUUGCGCGAUUGAAUGAGCCGAUGUCGGAUUAGCUAGUUGGGGGGGUAAAGGCCCACCAAGGCGACGAUCCGUAGCUGGUCUGAGAGGAUGGUCAGCCACACUGGAACUGAGACACGGUCCAGACUCCUACGGGAGGCAGCAGUGGGGAAUAUUGGACAAUGGGCGCAAGCCUGAUCCAGCCAUACCGCGUGGGUGAAGAAGGCCUUCGGGUUGUAAAGCCCUUUUGUUGGGAAAGAAAAGCAGCAGGUUAAUACCCCGCUGUUCUGACGGUACCCAAAGAAUAAGCACCGGCUAACUUCGUG